CAGCGACGCCGCGUGAGCGAUGAAGUAUUUCGGUAUGUAAAGCUCUAUCAGCAGGGAAGAAAAUGACGGUACCUGACUAAGAAGCCCCGGCUAACUACGUGCCAGCAGCCGCGGUAAUACGUAGGGGGCAAGCGUUAUCCGGAUUUACUGGGUGUAAAGGGAGCGUAGACGGCUGUGCAAGCCAGAUGUGAAAGCCCGGGGCUCAACCCCGGGACUGCAUUUGGAACUGCGUGGCUUGAGUGUCGGAGAGGCAGGCGGAAUUCCUAGUGUAGCGGUGAAAUGCGUAGAUAUUAGGAGGAACACCAGUGGCGAAGGCGGCCUGCUGGACGAUGACUGACGUUGAGGCUCGAAAGCGUGGGGAGCAAACAGGAUUAGAUACCCUGGUAGUCCACGCCGUAAACGAUGACUACUAGGUGUCGGGUAGCAAAGCUAUUCG
rnacentral:rRNA from 1 species